CCCAUGUCUGUCUUCCAGCCUCCGGAGAAGCGCUGCAUGUGUUCCCCUUGGUCUCGGAGUGUCAAGCCCUGAAAGAAGGCGACUCCAUAGUCCUGGCCUGCUUGGCAAGAGGAUACUCCCGAGAGUCAGUACAGGUGACCUCGGUUUCGGGGGAAGCAGGACCAGGACACAAAGACCAAUCUCUUCAUGCCGAAGGCACAAGACAACAUUGAGCUGUCCUUCCUGACUGCCCAGUGGAAGCCAGACCCCCACCAGUGCAGCACCGCCAGCGGCAAGCUGCAGAAGGCCUUCCGGUGGCCAGCAUCUUGGGAAACUAAGACCCCCCUGUCGACUCUUGGGCCAACCCCAUCAGAGGACUCCACCACAGUGCCCAGCACUGCCAGGGUCUCAGUGCCUUCCACCAGCCACACCCAGGCACAAACCAGAGAGCCGGAAAGGACAGCGGACGCCAGUCUCAGAGGUCAGUGCCCUGGGGCACAGAGCGGGGAAGAAGGGGAAGAACAGAUUUGGGAGCCCCGGGGACAGCCCAGCUCGGGAGCAAGCCCCCAGGCCGGUGGCGGGAGGCCAGGAGGCGAAAAAAGCCGGGUCUGCACCAGGGAGAGCUAGGCAGAAUCAGAGAGGGCAUGUCACACUGCCCACAGCACCACCCCCAGGCCGGGUCUGCGCGCCCCAGUGCCCCCAGUGACCGAGGCCACUGUCCUCUGGCAGAGUGUCGGAACCACACCAGCCCUCCCGGCCUCUACCUGCCACAGCCUCCCCUGCAGGGCCCAUGGCUCAAGGGACAGGCCACCUUCACCUGCCUGGCAGUGGGGGCUGGCCUUCAGGAGUCCCGCUUGUCCUGGGAGGUGGCCGGGGUGCCCCUGCACGCGGGUGUGGACAGUGGGCCGCUGGAGGAGAAUGCCAAUGGUUCCCAGAGCCUGAGAAGCCGCCUGGACUUGCGCGUGGCCUCCUGGGCCUCGGGGGCCAACAUCACCUGCACGCUGAGCGGCCCGGGCGUGGCUUCCCAAGUGGUGUCCGCAGCUCCCAAGGAACACGCUGCCUCUGCGCCCAGCAGCCUCACAGUCCACGUCCUGACUGUGUCCAGAGCAGCCUCCUGGCUCCUGUGCAAAGUGUCCGGCUUCUCGCCCCCAGACGUCCUCCUCACCUGGCUAAGGGACCAGGUCCAGGUAGACUCUGCUUCCUUUGCCACUGCACCCCCCCACAGCCGAGCUGGGGAGCAGCACCUUCGAGACCUGGAGAGUCCUGCACAUCCGCAUGGCCCAGGCCCCUCGCCCGGACACCUACACGUGUGUGGUCCGGCACGAGGCCUCCCGAAGGUUGCUCAACGCCAACCGGAGCCCAGAGACGGCCAGCCAUGUGCUGGACUAG